CACGUGGCACAAUUGCAACUUACUAUUUACAAAACGGUUAGAAUUGCCAAAAUGGAAAGGGGGCAACUUAGAAACGUCAACUCCGAUAUGGCGCAAUUUGCCAAGUUUGCCGCUCUCCGCCGUCUUCUCCACCGUCACCGCCGUUUGAUUCCCCCGACGGAAUUGUCAUCCCGUCCGUAUUCCUCCCGCAACGCCGAGUGGGCGCAUCCUCCCGAUUUCGCCGGAAGGAACGCUUAUGAGAUCCUUGGAGUAUCUCCGGCGAGUUCAUUUGCAGAAAUUAAAGCUUCCUUUCGCAAAUUGGCUAAGGAAACUCAUCCCGAUCUUGCCUCCUCGCAAAACCAUUCAUCUUAUGCUUCCGAUCGAUUCAUCCAAAUUCUCGCUGCUUACGAGAUUCUCUCAGAUGCUACCAGGAGAGCUCACUAUGAUCAUUAUAUUUCAUCUCAAAGAAUCUCUGUUGAUGAGCACAAUAAACGAGAUACCAAAAUCUUCAUGUACAACUCAUUUCGUCACCCUACUAAUGAGAUGGAAGUUGUUGAAUGGCUGAAAUGGUAUAGACACACAAUAAAUGACAUUUUAUCUGAAAGAAGAGUUACAUCCGGAUCGGGGUAUUUUGAUCUUCUGGAAAGAGAUUUUUACUCGGCCAUUCAUGCAGCAUUCUAUGGACCUGAGAUUGAUUCUAUGGAUCUCCUUCCUGACCGUUUUGAAGCCGAUGAGAGGUCUACGCAUACUACAGCAGAGGUGCUACACUUAGUUACAGGUCGAGAUCUUUUUGGCAUGGUAUGUCUCGCUAAGAAGUAUCGUGAAUUAUCAGAUGCGUGUACUGGAAAACUAGUAUCUUCUUCUCUGGGUUCAGUACAGCUGGCCGAUAAUGUAAGCGGGCAACAUCAAUCUGAUGCAGAUGAGGACAAAGAUUUCCAGCACCAAUCUGUUCGUACUGAUUAUCAAUCAUCUGAUGCGUACAAAGAUCUAGAGUUACAUUUAUCUGGGAGAGUUGUGGCUGUGGCUAUGAGAGUUCCACCAAAAAGUGAAGAUGAGGAGUCUGAAGACCAGAUACAUGUUUAUCUCACUUCACUUGGAGACCAAUUUCAUGAAAGGCAUCAACAUCCUGGAUAUUCGCAUGCAGAUUCCUCAGGUGGACAUAAAAUUCCUCUGGGUGUUAUAAAAGGUUUGGGAACCACCCCUGAAGAAGGAACUUGCUAUGUCUAUGACAAUGGUGGCAUGAAGACUCAUAUGAUUAUGAAGCAUAGAACAUUGCUGGUGAAACACUUGCAUUGGUUCCGAGUUGGAGAUGAAAUUUCAGUUUGUGAGUGUAGAUGCAGUCGAGCUCGCUUGCCACCGAGCAAUUAUUGGCUGUUUGAGCCUCGCAGUGCGAUGCAUGACAUAGGAGGAUGGUAUAUUGAGACAUUUGGAAGAGAUAACAAAGGAAAAACUGUUCCAGCCGGGAGAUAUUGGGAUGGUUCAGAUACAAAUCCAAAGUGUGAGGAGAGACUUCAUCCAGCAAUAUACUUGCUUGCUCUGGCCUACAGGACACUAGAUAUUGAAGAUGUAAGAAGAGGGAAAAAGAGAAUUAAAGAUAUAGUUGAAUUAGAAAUUUCAAGAGUAGUAACUUGGUUUAGGAAAGUUUCUUAGGUCAUAAGCAAGAAGUGUUUCAGUGGAUCGUUAUAGCUGAUCUCAAGCAUACAACUCAGCAUGUCUGUGCACGGAGUCCCACAAGCACUGGGAGAGUCGUACUGCACAAACUCUGCUGUGGAAAUAAAUGAAGAUCUCUGAAAUGUAAGGAAGAAGGACGUCUUGCUGCUGUUUCCAAAACAUGAAAGGCUCUAAGAACAGGUUUACAAAAGUAACAAUGUCUUAGCAAGUUAUGGCAUAGGAAUAAGACCGUUGUCACUCGAGGAUAUGACUCGCAAUUCUCAUCAAAUUAAAAGCCACGAGGAAAUUUGCCUAGAUUAGGCAGUGAGGUCAAGUUGUCACUGAGAGCAUUUCACAGUUAACUUCCAUGAUAGGCAAAGUUCGAAGCAUGAAGACACAUGGGCAUCUAAAGCAUUUUGAUGAUGGAUUUGCAGGGGAGAAAUAGAUCCCCGAUCCCAACAUGUGUACAGCUUAUAGUACUUAAUUCAAGGUGGAUGCCUCCGGCAAGACUUGCAUUUGUGCUGUCGGCAAGAGUUUCACGAUAAGCCAAUCCAGAUGAACAUGAGAUUUCCUGGGAGGAAAAAGAACUUAGCUCACCAGAUAAAUCCUCAGGACAAUCAAUGAAACGAGAAAGAGAGUUCCUGUUCCCGCAGCAAGGACAAAUCGUAAAGGAUCCUGUAUCAUUGAAAAAGUUGAGUUUCCUGUCAAUCUUCAUAUCAGGGAAUAGAUACUUCAAUAACACUUGCCCUAGCAUGUGUUUCUCUAUAGUUUGUGAACAAUGUAUUUUAGCUUUUCCCACUAUAUGGCAAUUUCUUUUGCUCCUCUAACCAUAGAACUCUAGUUGUUGUUUAUACUCCCAAUUUUUAGGGCAACCAUUUUGUUUGUGUUUUUUAAAUCCCAGCUGUGCAAAAUAUUAUCAUUCUUGUUUUCACUACAGUAAUUUGUACUUGACAAGAUUAUGGUUACACUACCUUUGAAGGAUUGAAGCUGGCCGCUGCAAUAGGCACGCCCAGGACUGUGAAAGUGACCAACCAGAGUCCUCCGAGGCGUAGGAAGAAUGAUCCGGGGCUGAGGUCGGCCCACGAGUAUAAGGUCUCGUCUUUCAGAGACGAGUACUCGUUUACCUGAAUAAUAUGAGAAGAUUAAAAGCUCACCUCAUUUUGCAUGAAAGGAAAUCGAAAGGGAGAGCUGGAGGGGGACGUACCGGGCGUUGUUCGAACGGGACCUCGAUCUCCAAACCGGGAUCCCAGCUCUGACCAGGUGCUCCAUUCUUUUCAUCUUUCAGUGCCCUCACUCUAAAUCUCAUUCUUCCAUGCGAAACCUCGUUUCUCCGCUGCGGAACUAUUGUGUUGAAGCUGCUUCCAUACUUGGCCUGUCUACAGCAUGGGACUAUGCAACAGUAGAGGUUCAAUCCAAGCAUUUGUAUCUCUCUCAAACACUGAAACUCAAGAGCGUUAGACCAAGAACAUGAAGCAGAUCAUCAAGAAGUUGAUGAUGGAUCAUGCAAUUAUAUUUGCGUGGACGAAAACUGCUAGGCAGUUUAAAUCCUCUGAAAUUUUUGGUUUUGGUGUUUUGUGUUGCGGAAAAUGAAGUGGGGCCCCAGUUCAUGGUAAUGGUAGAGAUUUGUCCAAAGUGGAGAUAAUCCGAGGGGAUAUUUGGCUUUAUUUUUGUGGCUGAGGCAGAAUGCGCGCAGCAGUAACGUGUUGAGCCUAUUUUUCCACGCAAAAUUUGUGAUGCUGUGGCGUGUCUCCACGGGCUUAUGAGAUGUUGCAUAAUAUUGCCACACUUGUUUGUUUGGGUUUAAUUACGACUAAAUUUGGUUUAUUAUCGUUUUCGAUGUGCCAAGUAUAAAUUAAUUAAUUAAAUAAAUUUUUAAUUUGUAUAAA